rnacentral:rRNA from 1 species
AUCUAGUUAAUUCUACUAGUAGUUAUAUAUUUAUUUUAAAAAUUAAACUAUAUAUAUCUAAAUAUAAGUAAUUAUAUAGUAAAACUAUAAAUAGUUUAUUAUAUAAAUUAUUAUUUAUUUGAUAGUAUUUUACUAUUUAGAUAACUAUAAUAAUUCUAGAAUUAAUAUAUACUAAAAAUCCCAACUUUAAAAAGGAUAUAUUUAUUAGAUUAAAAACUAAUACUUUUUAAAGCUUAUUAAUAAUUCAUAAUAACUUCUCAAAUUAUAUAGCUUUAUACUAGUAAUAAUUUAUUUAAAUUUCUUCCCUAUUAACUUUUAAUAUUAGAAUAGUAUUUUAAUAUAGUUAUAAUAAGUAAUAGAAAGUUAGAACUUAAUCCUAAAGAAAAAGCCUGAGAAAUAGUUAUUAUAUCUAAGGAAAGUAGUAGGUAUACAAAUUACUUAAUCUUAAUACGGAGAAGUAGUAAUAAUAAAUAUUAAUAUAAAACUCUUUUAAGUUUUAUAAUUAGAAUAAAUAUAAUUUAAAUCUCUUAAUAAGGAAUAAUUAGAAAGUAAGUUUAGUAUUAGUAGCUAUAGUAAUUCUAACUCUAAUAAUAUAUAUUAAAAUUGUUAUAGUUAAAAAGCUUAUAGUGGAACCUUAGGCCUAGCUAGCUAGUUUACCUUACUAUAUAUAUUAAUCUAACUAAAUUUUUCCCUCUAUAAAACUAUAUACUUUUUACUAGGUAUAUUAAGGAAGUAGGAUUUUUACUUUAAAAAAAAUUAGAAUACUUUAAAUAGGUUUAUAUUUAAAUAUAUUAGUAUAGAAUAAUAGAAUAAGAUAUAUAGUUCUAUUUUAUUAGUUUUUAGGAUUACUAUAAUAAUUAAUAGGGAUAGUUAGGAAUAUUAGUAUUUAAUUAUCAGAAGCAAAAUUCUUAGAUUUAUUAAAAACUAACUACUAUAAAAGUAUUUACUAAAGAUAUUUUUAUUUAUUAAGAAUAGAAAUUAGGGGAUUAAAGAUAAUUAGAUAUUAUUAUAGUUUUAACUAUAAAUUAUACUAACUAAGGAUUAGAUAAUAUUAUUUUUUGAUUUAUUUAGUAUUUUAUAAAAAAUGAAAAUAUUUAGGCUCUAAGGGGAAUAUAGUUAUAAGGCUGAAAUUUAAAGAAAUUAAUAGAAAAAUACUUUUAGGAGUAAAUAAUAACUAUUCAAAUUUUACUUUAGAUAGUAAGUUUAUAAAAAGUCUAGUAAUUAAUUUUAAAUUACUAGUUACUUUAGUAGUAGUAAUAUCUCCUAAUUAUAAGAAACUUUUAAAAAGUAGUAUUCCUAAGUAGUACUUAAAAGAGAUAUUAUAAUAGUAGUAUAAUAGCUAUUAGUAUAGGGAUAAUAUACUAUUUAUAAGGUAACUUAUAGCUAAACUUCUAACUAUAAGGAAGGUUUAGAGAUUUAAUAGGGAUAGGUAGUACUUACUAAAUAUUACUUAAGAUAGAAUUUAUACCUACUUAAAAGAAUAAGAACUAACUAGUAUAUUACCUAAAAAAAAGUUUAUAGUUUAAUUUAACUUAAUAUAAAGAAAUUUAUUAGGUCUAGAUAUAAUAAGGAUUAAUAGAUUAAGAGUUUUUUUUAAUUUUAUAAGUAGUAGUAUAUAGUUAUUCUUAGUUAGUAGAGUGAUUUAUCUAUUUAAUUAUAAUAAUAAAUAAGAUUUUAACUUAUUAAAUAGUUUAUAUUACUUUAGUAGUAUACUAGCUUUUUAGAAAGACUAUUAGUUUAAAUUAAUAGAAGUUUGAAGUAAUAAUAAGUUAAUUUUUAUAGGUUUAUAAUAGUGGGUUUUAUUAAAGAUAAUUAUUAGUCUAGUGAUUCUAACUCUAUAGGGGAAGUUUCUAAUUAUUAAGUAGAAAGGUAUUUCUUAAGAUACUUGUUGUGGGUAAUACUACUUAGUAUAGGGAAUACCUAACUACUUCUAAGUAGUAGCUAAUCCUAUAGUAAGCCUAAGUAAUACUAAGUUAUUAUAAUAUACGUAAAAAGGUAGGUUUAAAAGAGUUUAAAGUAUAUAUUAAUCCUAAGUAAAAAUCUAACUUUUUGAGAAGGCCUGGCAGACUGAUAUAAAGGGGGGCUUACCUAACUAUAAGUUAAUAUUUAAAUAUUAUAAUAUUUUUAAAUAUUCUAAGCUAUAUAUAUAUUAUACUAAUAAAGCUAGUAAGUACUUUUUUAAUUAGAAGGUUUAAGUAAUCUUAUUAAAUUCUAUUAUAUUAAAAAUAAAGUAUUAUAAUUAUUACUUUUUAAUAAGGAAUCCCUAGUAAGUAUAAGUUAUUAGCUUAUAUUAAUUAUAUCCCUACUUUUUAUAUAUACUACUUAUUACUACUACUAAUUAAAUAGUUUAAUAAGGUUUUUAGAUUAAUUUAGAGAAGUAGGUAAUUACUAUUUAAAGCUAGAAAGUUAUUUAAACUUAAUUAUUUAAAAGAAGUAAAAAUUAUAAUAAGAUUUCUAUUAGUAAAUUAGUAGAAAGAUUAUUA